AGUGAACGCUGGCGGUAGGCCUAACACAUGCAAGUCGAACGGCAGCACAGUAAGAGCUUGCUCUUACGGGUGGCGAGUGGCGGACGGGUGAGGAAUACAUCGGAAUCUACUUUUUCGUGGGGGAUAACGUAGGGAAACUUACGCUAAUACCGCAUACCACCUACGGGUGAAAGCAGGGGAUCUUCGGACCUUGCGCGAUUGAAUGAGCCGAUGUCGGAUUAGCUAGUUGGCGGGGUAAAGGCCCACCAAGGCGAGGAUCCGUAGCUGGUCUGAGAGGAUGAUCAGCAACACUGGAACUGAGACACGGUCCAGACUCCUACGGGAGGCAGCAGUGGGGAAUAUUGGACAAUGGGGGCAAGCCUGAUCCAGCCAUACCGCGUGGGUGAAGAAGGCCUUCGGGUUGUAAAGCCCUUUUGUUGGGAAAGAAAAGCAGCAGGUUAAUACCCCGCUGUUCUGACGGUACCCAAAGAAUAAGCACCGGCUAACUUCGUG
rnacentral:rRNA from 1 species